rnacentral:lncRNA from 1 species
ACUUAAGCAACAUAUCCAUUCUUGCAUUUUUGUGGGCAUCCAACAAUUGUUUUGUGAGAUCAUUAACUUUGGCAUUUAAUUCUUGAACUUUACAAAUCAGUUCAGCCACUCUUGCUUGGAGUUUUGCAUUUUCAGCUAUAAGUUAAAUGGUGGCACCAGGUCUCUCAGGUGACAACUUUUGAAUCUGCGACUUCAAACACACUAUCUCAACAUCUUUU